CAAAACUAUUUAAAAAUGAUCUCAGUGACUUAUAGUUACACCUAAAGAACAAUGAAAGCUAUUUGUGGCCACAACCAAUACAAAUUGACAUUAUCUUCGAAGAAGUUAACAGCCAUCUAAAAUUCAGUGAUCUUCUAAAUCUACUUGUCUGAGGUGGCCAGUAUACAAUGAUGAUAAUUACAAUUAUUUCUAAUAUUUAUCACAAUUACUCCUCUGUUAACCCUGGCGGAAAUGGUGAGAGCUAAGCCAGAAGAAAAUGAUAUCGCUUUUGUCGCCAUAGCCAGAGCAAAACCAGAGCAAAGCCAGAGAUAAUAAAAACAGAAUAUUAACGAUAUCAAACGUAAAUUUGGGCUGUAUAUGGAUAUAUUAUUCAAAAUAAAUUAUUAUUGAACUUAUUUUUAGCAAUAAUAUUGAUGUAAAGAGAUAAAUAUAAGUAUAACAAGUAAUAUAAAAGUUGACAGAUUUUGAC